GACUAUGAGUGGUGGAUCAUGCAGCCCAUGCGCCAAUGAAGAAUGCAGCUAGCUGCGAGAACUAAUGUGAAUUACAGGACACAUUGAUCAUUGACACUUUGAGCGCACUUUGCAGCCCCUGGUUACUCCUGGGGCUACGCCUGUCUGAGGGUCA